rnacentral:rRNA from 1 species
GAUGAACGCUGGCGGCGUGCCUAAUACAUGCAAGUCGAGCGAACAGACGAGGAGCUUGCUCCUCUGACGUUAGCGGCGGACGGGUGAGUAACACGUGGAUAACCUACCUAUAAGACUGGGAUAACUUCGGGAAACCGGAGCUAAUACCGGAUAAUAUAUUGAACCGCAUGGUUCAAUAGUGAAAGACGGUUUUGCUGUCACUUAUAGAUGGAUCCGCGCCGCAUUAGCUAGUUGGUAAGGUAACGGCUUACCAAGGCAACGAUGCGUAGCCGACCUGAGAGGGUGAUCGGCCACACUGGAACUGAGACACGGUCCAGACUCCUACGGGAGGCAGCAGUAGGGAAUCUUCCGCAAAGGGCGAAAGCCUGACGGAGCAACGCCGCGUGAGUGAUGAAGGUCUUCGGAUCGUAAAGCUCUGUUAUUAGGGAAGAACAAAUGUGUAAGUAACUAUGCACGUCUUGACGGUACCUAAUCAGAAAGCCCCGGCUAACUACGUG